UCAGAGGCGAUGAAGGACGUGCUAAUCUGCGAUAAGCGUCGGUAAGGUGAUAUGAACCGUUAUAACCGGCGAUUUCCGAAUGGGGAAACCCAGUGUGAUUCGUCACACUAUCAUUAACUGAAUCCAUAGGUUAAUGAGGCGAACCGGGGGAACUGAAACAUCUAAGUACCCCGAGGAAAAGAAAUCAACCGAGAUUCCCCCAGUAGCGGCGAGCGAACGGGGAGCAGCCCAGAGCCUGAAUCAGUGUGUGUGUUAGUGGAAGCGUCUGGAAAGGCGUGCGAUACAGGGUGACAGCCCCGUACACAAAAAUGCACAUACUGUGAGCUCGAUGAGUAGGGCGGGACACGUGGUAUCCUGUCUGAAUAUGGGGGGACCAUCCUCCAAGGCUAAAUACUCCUGACUGACCGAUAGUGAACCAGUACCGUGAGGGAAAGGCGAAAAGAACCCCGGCGAGGGGAGUGAAAAAGAACCUGAAACCGUGUACGUACAAGCAGUGGGAGCACGCUUAGGCGUGUGACUGCGUACCUUUUGUAUAAUGGGUCAGCGACUUAUAUUCUGUAGCAAGGUUAACCGAAUAGGGGAGCCGAAGGGAAACCGAGUCUUAACUGGGCGUUAAGUUGCAGGGUAUAGACCCGAAACCCGGUGAUCUAGCCAUGGGCAGGUUGAAGGUUGGGUAACACUAACUGGAGGACCGAACCGACUAAUGUUGAAAAAUUAGCGGAUGACUUGUGGCUGGGGGUGAAAGGCCAAUCAAACCGGGAGAUAGCUGGUUCUCCCCGAAAGCUAUUUAGGUAGCGCCUCGUGAAUUCAUCUCCGGGGGUAGAGCACUGUUUCGGCAAGGGGGUCAUCCCGACUUACCAACCCGAUGCAAACUGCGAAUACCGGAGAAUGUUAUCACGGGAGACACACGGCGGGUGCUAACGUCCGUCGUGAAGAGGGAAACAACCCAGACCGCCAGCUAAGGUCCCAAAGUCAUGGUUAAGUGGGAAACGAUGUGGGAAGGCCCAGACAGCCAGGAUGUUGGCUUAGAAGCAGCCAUCAUUUAAAGAAAGCGUAAUAGCUCACUGGUCGAGUCGGCCUGCGCGGAAGAUGUAACGGGGCUAAACCAUGCACCGAAGCUGCGGCAGCGACGCUUAUGCGUUGUUGGGUAGGGGAGCGUUCUGUAAGCCUGUGAAGGUGUGCUGUGAGGUAUGCUGGAGGUAUCAGAAGUGCGAAUGCUGACAUAAGUAACGAUAAAGCGGGUGAAAAGCCCGCUCGCCGGAAGACCAAGGGUUCCUGUCCAACGUUAAUCGGGGCAGGGUGAGUCGACCCCUAAGGCGAGGCCGAAAGGCGUAGUCGAUGGGAAACAGGUUAAUAUUCCUGUACUUGGUGUUACUGCGAAGGGGGGACGGAGAAGGCUAUGUUGGCCGGGCGACGGUUGUCCCGGUUUAAGCGUGUAGGCUGGUUUUCCAGGCAAAUCCGGAAAAUCAAGGCCGAGGCGUGAUGACGAGGCACUACGGUGCUGAAGCAACAAAUGCCCUGCUUCCAGGAAAAGCCUCUAAGCAUCAGGUAACAUCAAAUCGUACCCCAAACCGACACAGGUGGUCAGGUAGAGAAUACCAAGGCGCUUGAGAGAACUCGGGUGAAGGAACUAGGCAAAAUGGUGCCGUAACUUCGGGAGAAGGCACGCUGAUACGUAGGUGAAGCGACUUGCUCGUGGAGCUGAAAUCAGUCGAAGAUACCAGCUGGCUGCAACUGUUUAUUAAAAACACAGCACUGUGCAAACACGAAAGUGGACGUAUACGGUGUGACGCCUGCCCGGUGCCGGAAGGUUAAUUGAUGGGGUUAGCGCAAGCGAAGCUCUUGAUCGAAGCCCCGGUAAACGGCGGCCGUAACUAUAACGGUCCUAAGGUAGCGAAAUUCCUUGUCGGGUAAGUUCCGACCUGCACGAAUGGCGUAAUGAUGGCCAGGCUGUCUCCACCCGAGACUCAGUGAAAUUGAACUCGCUGUGAAGAUGCAGUGUACCCGCGGCAAGACGGAAAGACCCCGUGAACCUUUACUAUAGCUUGACACUGAACAUUGAGCCUUGAUGUGUAGGAUAGGUGGGAGGCUUUGAAGUGUGGACGCCAGUCUGCAUGGAGCCGACCUUGAAAUACCACCCUUUAAUGUUUGAUGUUCUAACGUGGACCCGUGAUCCGGGUUGCGGACAGUGUCUGGUGGGUAGUUUGACUGGGGCGGUCUCCUCCUAAAGAGUAACGGAGGAGCACGAAGGUUGGCUAAUCCUGGUCGGACAUCAGGAGGUUAGUGCAAUGGCAUAAGCCAGCUUGACUGCGAGCGUGACGGCGCGAGCAGGUGCGAAAGCAGGUCAUAGUGAUCCGGUGGUUCUGAAUGGAAGGGCCAUCGCUCAACGGAUAAAAGGUACUCCGGGGAUAACAGGCUGAUACCGCCCAAGAGUUCAUAUCGACGGCGGUGUUUGGCACCUCGAUGUCGGCUCAUCACAUCCUGGGGCUGAAGUAGGUCCCAAGGGUAUGGCUGUUCGCCAUUUAAAGUGGUACGCGAGCUGGGUUUAGAACGUCGUGAGACAGUUCGGUCCCUAUCUGCCGUGGGCGCUGGAGAACUGAGGGGGGCUGCUCCUAGUACGAGAGGACCGGAGUGGACGCAUCACUGGUGUUCGGGUUGUCAUGCCAAUGGCACUGCCCGGUAGCUAAAUGCGGAAGAGAUAAGUGCUGAAAGCAUCUAAGCACGAAACUUGCCCCGAGAUGAGUUCUCCCUG
rnacentral:rRNA from 1 species